rnacentral:rRNA from 1 species
GAUGAACGCUGGCGGCAGGCCUAACACAUGCAAGUCGAGCGGGGUUUUCGGACCUAGCGGCGGACGGGUGAGUAAUGCGUAGGAAGCUACCCGAUAGAGGGGGAUACCAGUUGGAAACGACUGUUAAUACCGCAUAAUGUCUACGGACCAAAGUGUGGGACCCUCGGGCCACAUGCUAUCGGAUGCGCCUACGUGGGAUUAGCUAGUUGGUGAGGUAAUGGCUCACCAAGGCGACGAUCCCUAGCUGGUUUGAGAGGAUGAUCAGCCACACUGGAACUGAGACACGGUCCAGACUCCUACGGGAGGCAGCAGUGGGGAAUAUUGGACAAUGGGCGCAAGCCUGAUCCAGCCAUGCCGCGUGUGUGAAGAAGGCCUUCGGGUUGUAAAGCACUUUCAGUAGGGAGGAAGCGUUGUGUGUUAAUAGUACACAGCGUUGACGUUACCUACAGAAGAAGCACCGGCUAACUCUGUGCCAGCCGCCGCAGUAAGAC